GAAUUACUCUUGGAGUAGCAAUUGCUGGAUGUGCCUCUUUUGUUGAGGUGAUUGGAUCUUUUGGCAAAAACCAGUGACUGCAAAGGAUGAGAGAAACGAUCAGAAAAACUGAAAAGCUGUAGGAGACCAAACACUAGUGUCUCCCCUGCUUCAGGGGACACCCACUGUCAGAGUGAACGACAAAGACGCGCGUGGAUGAUUUGAAGAUAUUAGCCUAACAAGAUGGAAGCAGGUUUAAAAUUUUACAUAAGAAGUUACCUUUUUCAGUUGUGUUGAUGUUCCUUUCAGCUGGUCCUAUAGUACCCCUCCUCAGGAAUGUCUCCCCAGUGCAAGGACAAAGACUGAAGAGACUGCUAUAUUGAUGGACUCUCAAGCCAACUAUGAAGUUGAAACAAAGAAAGUGAUCACCUGAAGACACCUCCUCUGCUAAGAAACACCCCCAAAUUGUGCAGCUUCUGCCACUAGAACUCUCAGAACAAGAGACAAUCUUUUCAAGAAACAGAAAAACUCAAUAAUGACAUCUAGAUUUUCAUGAGCCAAGAACUUUCCCUUCCUCAUGUGUAUUCCUCUGUUUGUACUUAAAUUCAUGUGACAUUCAUUUUUUUCCUAGUAUGGAUAUGCUUAUUAAUGCACUUGUUUCAAAAUCCCAAAUUGCACAAAUGUGUUAAUAUUUUAAGAAACAAAAUGAAUCCUACAAGGAGAAUGAUUUUUAGCCACACAUAGGGUUGGAUCUUGAGAGUGACCUACAGAAUAAAAGUACUUUUAAAAUAAAGUAGUCAGAGGCUAUUCAAAGGGUAAAAUAAUCAUAGUACCACAUUGGUCCACUUGACACUAACCAAUCGAUCAUUUUUUUUUAAUCAAGAAAGCUAGAUUCUAUCAGAUAAAAUCACUGCUUCUAAAGAGUUUAAAUCUAGUUAGAAAAAGUUAUAGAAAUGUUUGCAAAGAUAAGUAACAGAUAGAGUCAGUAGAGGAUAAGAUCAAAAACAAAACCAAGCAAAAGAUGAGUUCAGGGGAGUUUGCCAUCAAGUUGGCAAAACUGACUUACUUAGGGAAGAAAGUUAUAAAACAGGAAAAUAUGAGAUGAACCUUGAGUGAUGUGGAAGAUUUAGAUAAAUGGAAAGGAAGGAGAAAAUGGAGUUCUUUAGGUGGUUGUAAUUGGAGGAGGAAAUGAAUACACACAUCUUGUUGACUUAAACCCAGACAUUCAGCAGCUCUCUAUACAUAUCUGGAAAAGACUGCACAGUCACCUCCUGUCUCUCACCCCAGGUAUUACUUAGAAUUAUUAUCAUAUUUCCCUUCCUUUAAAGUAAGUAAGGGUGAUUGGUGACAAUAUGGAGAACUAUGAUUUUUCCAUUAACCUAAUAAUAAUUGGUAUUUAUUGAGUUCUGUUAAGCAUUUUACAUAUUAACUCACUUAAGCCUUUCAACAGCCUUGCAAAAUAGGUAUUAUUAUCCCCAUUUUACAGGCAAGAAAACUGAGGUUUAAGUAACUUGCCGAAGUGCCAUAUACAGGGCUCACAUUCAGUAUUGCAGUUGCAAAGCUCAUGAUCUAUAGUGCCAAGUUGCAAUAUUGUAGUCAAUGUCACAAUUAUUACCCCUUUUUAUAUUCCUUGAUAUUUUUCCAUGGCAAACAAUUAGCUAUUUCAUUUAAUAAUCACCUAAAACUUUUCAGUCUUCUGAUUAAAAUUACGCUGGAGUGAUAGAAUGUAUUUUCAUGAUAGAAAUUGGGAAAAAAAAUGGGGAAUGAAGUUUAUCAGCAUUUCAGACUUGUUUUUUUUUUUUUUUUUUGCAAGACUUUGAUGAGAUUGUUCACUUUUGUCUAUGUAAAAUCCCAAAUCCUUGAGAAUAAAAAAGGGGGAGGUUUAAGUCACUUGUUGCAAUGCCCUUUUUAAUAGAGGCAAUAAAUCUAAAGGCCAUAAAUUUAGAGUGACUUACAGAAGAUCGAACUUUGGAGUGUGGCAGAGUAAGGGAUGGAAACCGGGCCCUCCAGUUCACUAUCAGUAGCUUUUGCACUGGUCUGCCCUUCCUAAAUUAAGUAUGCACUUCAAUUUGAUGAGUGGAAACAGUCUAUCUGGGCAGUAACCAGGGAGCUUUGUGCCUAGUAGAUUGCUUCUGUUCUGCACUUCUUUGGUUUCCCACCUCAAUGUAAAAAAUAGCUAGCAAUGAAGUCCAGAAGUUGUCAAUGGUUCAUCCCCAGAAGAAUGCAUAAUGUCCAAAGUUGUAUGUGUAUGAUGUCUUCAAUGGUAUUAAGUUAUUUCAAAUUCUUAGUUCACCUACAUAAAUCAUUUCUAACAAGCAUCUUCUUAACCAACUUUAUGCACAGUGUAUGUUUGUAAGUGCUUCUGCACGAAUGUUUAUACAUGACUGUUUCCAUAGUACUUAUGUUUUUAAAAAUAUUCAGUCAUUUCCUACUAUAAUCCUCAUGUAUCCAUGUAACUGACUCAAAAAUACUUCAGCCACAGAAAGCUAAAACUGAGCAAAUCUCAUUCUUCUUUUCCAUCCCCUUUGCAUGUGGCUGGCAUUUAGUAAUGAUUAAUAAUAUGGCCAGCUGAAUAACAGAGGUUUGAGACACAAUUCUUUCUCAAAGGAGUCAGCUAAGCUGGGUCUACUUAUGGACAAACAUCUAAAUGUGUGGAAGUAUCUGAUAUUUGACAAUGGUAAAUUUCCACUUAGCUAGCUAGCAUUGUCAGACUUCAAUCUCCUCAUGGCUCUGGCCGUCCUGUUUUAAGCAUGAUAAUUGUUGGCCACAUCUCACAUAGUUCUCAUUGAGUGAGUUCAUAAAUAAACAGGGUUUUUUUUUUUUUUUAAAGAGCAGCCAAGCACAAAGUGUGACUUUGUUGACAUUUUAUGUGACUUUGUCAUAUGUUCCUAACCCCCAAUAAAAGCAAUGUUGCAUCAACUGUGAA
rnacentral:lncRNA from 1 species